AGUCCCUUUUUGAAGGGAAAGAAAUUAUGUAUACACCUCAUGUGUAUAUAGACAAUUUUUUUUCCCAUAUAUUCACUUGUAAAAAGGGUAAAUAAAUUUUAUAAUUUAAUCACAUGUGUAUUUUUAUUUUAUUUAUAAGUUUUUUAUGAAUAAAAUUAGUAGUAAUAUACAUGCUUCGUGCGAUAAAGACAUUU
rnacentral:snoRNA from 1 species